GAGGAGUUACCAUUGCCAGUUAAUUCUGAUGCGGUAAAAAAGUUUUACGCAUGAUGAUUCCGUGAUAGUGGUUGCCACUAAGGGAAUGUUGAUAUUAUCUUUAAAGCUUAUUGUACUCUGUGUUUCUUCACUAAAUAAAGUUCACAUGAUUUCAUUCAUAUUUUGGUUGUUUGCAUUCCAUCUGAAAUAUUGCAUGUCGCGC
rnacentral:lncRNA from 1 species